AGGGAAGUAGAUUGUGCAGAUUAGGGAAGUAGAUGUCCCAUGUGAUGUUUUCUGAGAAUAUAUGAGCUCGAGAAAAAGUUGGUUUUCUCCAGUGUAUACCACUACCAGUAUAUCUAGUGCUUGUACGGCUUGGUUUCCUUUCUUACUGAAAUUCACAAAAGCAAAGAGUCAAUUAUCAAGUACUUGAUUGCGUUUAAAAAAUUAUGAGAUCAACUAUUUUAUAAAAGCAAAGGAAGAACUAAUUGAGAAUUGAUAAUCUUGGCAUGUCUUUGGGUUGGUCACGAUGGUGUAAGAGUUUUCUUUUUCUGAAAAUGUAUCACACGGGACCCUGAAAACGAAACCCAUGUCUUUCUAUAGGUAG